UGCAUUAGCCUUCAUGAGAGGCGUGGAGA
rnacentral:piRNA from 1 species